rnacentral:rRNA from 1 species
UACGUAGGGGGCGAGCGUUGUCCGGAUUUAUUGGGCGUAAAGAGCGUGUAGGCGGCCAGGUAGGUCUGCUGUGAAAACUCGAGGCUCAACCUCGAGACGUCGGCGGAAACCAUCUGGCUAGAGUCCGGAAGAGGAGAGUGGAAUUCCUGGUGUAGCGGUGAAAUGCGCAGAUAUCAGGAGGAACACCGGUGGCGAAGGCGGGUCUCUGG